GUCUUUUUGAAUUUAAAUAUAAAGUCUAAUCUGCCCAUUGAUAUUAAUUUAACGGCCGCAGUAUUUUAACUGUGCAAAGGUAGCAUAGUCAUUAGUCUUUUAAUUGAAGGCUUGUAUGAAUGAUUGGACGAGAUAUAAACUGUCUCAUAAAAAUUUAUUGUUGAAUUUAAUUUUUUAGUUAAAAAGCUAAAAUAAUUUUAAAAGACGAGAAGACCCUAUAGAUCUUUAUAUUUUAUUUUAUUAUUUUUUUAAUGGUUUGAUUUUAUAAUAAUAAUAUAAAUUAUUUUGUUGGGGUGACAUUGAAAUUUAAUUAACUUUCAAAAUUUAUAAACAUUAAUAUAUGAAUUAAUGAUCCUUUAUUAUUGAAUAAAAAUUUAAGUUACCUUAGGGAUAACAGCGUAAUUAUUUUGGAGAGUUCUUAUCGAUAAAAUAGAUUGCGACCUCGAUGUUGGAUUAAGAUUAAUUUUGGGUGUAGUAGUUCAAUAUAUUAAGUCUGUUCGACUUUUAAUUUCUU
rnacentral:rRNA from 1 species